UACGGGGGGGGCAAGCGUUGUUCGGAAUUACUGGGCGUAAAGGGCUCGUAGGCGGCCAACUAAGUCAGACGUGAAAUCCCUCGGCUUAACCGGGGAACUGCGUCUGAUACUGGAUGGCUUGAGUUUGGGAGAGGGAUGCGGAAUUCCAGGUGUAGCGGUGAAAUGCGUAGAUAUCUGGAGGAACACCGGUGGCGAAGGCGGGCAUCCUGGACCAACACUGACGCUGAGUGAGCGAAAGCCAGGGGAGCAAACGGG
rnacentral:rRNA from 1 species